rnacentral:lncRNA from 1 species
UGGUGACAGUUAAUUUACUAUUUGAUUAUUCCAUGAAAAACUAAGUGUUCCUUUUAGUUCACUCAAUCAAUCAGUAAAUUUUUAUUGAGCCACUACAGGUGUAAACACUGUGGUAGGCAUCAGAGACACAGACACUUAGGACAAAAUCACUUCUUUAAAGAGUUUAAAGCUGAUUCAAGACACAAAUAGCAACUUGCAAAACAGGAUUAGUCAUAUAUUUAUUCAAAAACUAGUUCUUGACUCUUUAUUUCAGGCACUGGGCUAAAUGCUGGACUAAGGUAAUUUCCUCUCCUACAAUUUAGAACCCCUGGCCUACUGGGAGAGGUAAUGAUAACAUUAUUAUGUUUUUUAGAUAAGGCUCAAAGUUCCAUGAGAGAUCCAGGAGAAGCACUCUGGACUCCAUAGACAAAGCACUUCUUGAUGAGAACUGUAGGAAACAGAAGAUACCCAAGAUAAAAGCAUGAAGAGCAUGGAAGUUAAAGAAAAGAGAGACACUUUGUCACUGUAAGACAUUUAUUAAACCUGAUUGUGGAUGUAUAAUAUAUGAAAGGAAAUGUUCAUGAGGGAUAAUGGGAGUGUAAGGAGGAAGGAUACGAGAGUUAGAAAAAUACCCCCCCAGUAUCCAUGACUUGAUUCCCAUAAGCUGUGAAUGUGUUCAAUUGCAUGCAAAAGGGACUUUGCUAAAACUCAGUUACUGACCUUAAAGUAGAAAGACUGUCCUAGAAUACGUGGGUGAGCCUGAUCUAAUCAUAUGAACACUUAAAGGCAAAGAAUUGUUGCUAGAUGAUAACCAGCAAGUAAUAGGCACCUCAGUCCUAUAACCCCAAGGAAAUGACUUCAGACAACAACUUGAAUGAGCUUGGAAAUGGAUUCUUUCCAGAGUCUCUGGAGAAGCUAAGGUAACUGACGCUCUGGGUUCAGUUUUGUGAAACUCAGAGCAUAGAAACUAAUUGAGCCAACCCUGACUUAAGAUCUAGAAAACAAUGAGAUAAUAAAUGUCUGUCAUUUUCAAAAAACUAAUAAGAGGUUAAAGAGGUAAAUAGAAGCCAAAAUAUUUAGGUCCUCAUGUGCCACCAGGCUAUUAUAAAAGUUUGCUUCAAAGCAUAAAAGAGUAGUAUAUUUUACAUAAAAAGUAAAUUUUACAGCAAUGUUAUAAAGUAGGUGCUAGAAAGUAAGAUCCUCUAAUACAAUAUAAGCUCCAUGAAGGUGGGAAUUAUUGAUGUACAAUGCUAAAACCUUAUCCCCCAGAACAGCUCUAGUACUUAACAGAUACUCUACGAAAUAUUUGUUACUGAAAAAAUCAUACUAUCCAACAGUUGAAAGGCUCAGUAAAUUGUUGAUCAAAUUUUGCCUGUUUCAAUUGUGGGCAUACUGGGGCAAAGUGGUCCAUCUUCCUUAUCUUCACUCACCAUUUUCUAUUUACAUUCUUUUUUUACUUUGAACUGAAGGAAUAUUUAAGUCAUAUAAUCAAAAUAGGUUCAGAAAAUGGCACUAAGGUGGCAGUAAGAUUGGACCUGCAGUCCUGUAAAGGGUGAGAAGGACAAGCAAUUCAUGGUGAGGAUUUGAUUUGGCAGGAUGCCCAUCUGGAAUCAGGAGUAAAUACCUCCUGAACUUCUCCUGAUGAGUGUUUAUCUCUUCCUUGUCCUCAUUAUGGCUAUACAUUCUGGAUUCCUCACUCCUUGAAUGAGGUAGAAAUGAGACUACAUUUCCAAGCUAGUCUUUAGCAUAAACUGUUCCAAGUAUGUACCAUAAAAUACUCUUUGGGAAAAGAAAAAUAAAAUAAAAACCCAGUGAAAAAGACCAUUCUGAUUUCUGGUUUGGGUCUUAGCAGUAAAGAAAUAAUUUUUUUUUGUAAAAUUAUCUUUAUUUUAUAUAGUUUUCAUGUUUUAAAUCACGGCCCUUGUUUGGAUCAAAUUGUAAUUUCCCCAAAGGAAAAGAUGAAGUGAACCCUUAUGCACGAAACAUAGUUCAAUACUUUGCACAUAAUGAGUAUUCAAUAAACAGUGCUGCCUCUCUUAUUUGGAAAAGUAAAAAUCAGAAAAACUAAAAACAGAUACCUCAGACUAGCAACUAUACUUUCUUAUAGUAAUCUUUCUAGCUCUUCAUUGCCCAUACUUAAAGCCAGAUAAAAAAGAUAGUUCAUUCUUUUAUUGACAGUUACUAGGUGUCUACCAGGUAACAGGUACCAAGGCACAUACAGGGACUCAAUGAUAUCCUUGAUAACAGAGAAUUCACUGUCUACUUGGGGCAACAGGCAUGGACCAAAUAAUCACAUUAUUAAAUAUAUAACAAAAAAUUGAAUAAGUAUUCAUAAUGUAAAGAACUUGUUCCUCAGAUAGAAAUAAAAGUGGAAAACAAUGCCAAGCAGAUUUUAUUAUGGCAUUCUGAUGUCAUAUGGCAUUUUGGAGGAACUCCAAGCUAUUUAAUAACACUGGCACACAGGGUGUAUCUGAUGAGAAGCUGGAAAUGGGGUUGGGGAGGUAUGUUAGCCAGAAUGUGUGCUGCUGAGUUAUCUGGGCUUCAUUCUGUAGGUUAUGAGCACAUCCACUAUCUUGGGCUUUUCCUUUUAUAAAGUAAUCAUUCAAAUUUGCCAUAUAACUUAUAAAACUAUAUACUUACAAAUUUUUAUGUUUUAAAAACUUUUCUAAGCAAAUAAUAGUAUUUUUCAUAAUAAUCACUGUAUCCCAUUACCAGAAAAAGAUCUUCACUGAGAUUUUGUUCUUAUUUAUUUUAGAAAAGAAUAUUUUUCCUUGUAGUUAAUAUUUCACACACACACACACACACACACACACACACACAAUUAAUCAAUCUGGAAAUCUCCCUCUUUGAUCCAGAAGCUAAAUUGUACAAGUAACAUUAGGAGGAAAGUUUUCUUUUCUUUACACUUUCAACUUACAUAGAAAAAAAAUUUACCACCAUAAGAAAUACAAAGCAAAUAUAAAGACACCAGCUAGAGAAUACAAAAUGAUUCUUUUCAUUCUGUAGAGAAAUACAAAAUGUUACAUUUUAAGUGAGAAAAUAAAGAUGUUCUUUUAUGUCAACACAGGAAAACAAAAAUAAAGGAUAUUUAAAUUAGCCUUUCCUGUAACAGUAGUAAUCAAUCUUAUCAUUUUCAUAAAAUGAACAAUUUUGAUUAAAGUGUAAACACAACCCAGAAUUUUAAUGAAGAAAUUUUAGUUCCUGAAUUCACAAAAAGUCUAUUCUAUCAGUCACUUAGCCCUUUUUCAAAAAUAUGGGGAAAAUAUUUGGCUAUUUUGUUUCAUUUGCUCUUAAUCCCACCUGCUUCACUGUGUAAGCAGGACUUGUUUGAAAAGUGCAGUCUAAAUAUUUAGAGUAAAUGCUCAAGCACAUAAUAGAAAUAUGUGGGAUUUUUUUUGUUGGGGGGAAGGGGGACUUUGCUCUAAAACGAAAUAGGUUAUCUGUGUUGGACAAAUCAUGUUUCCUCGAAUAUUCUGAAGACAUUAUCUAUAAAGAACCUUUUAAAGCACAGAUUAUUGUUUAAGUAUAGAUUCAUAACAGUUUGGAACUAGGAGGACCUAAAAGUUUAUCUCAACUACAUUCCUACUGUUCUGAGCUUCCAAUUUUCCCCAGACUCCCUUGCACUUAAUUUGGAGCCUUGUAACUAGUCAGUGGACCAUGAAUGAAAGUGUUACCUUAUCUCUUAGCUGAGCUUGUAAAAUCAAUAUACAUACUCCAAUGUCUACUCCUCCUGUAGCGUCCUACCAAUCUGUGCCCCACCCCAAACAACCUAGUGACUUGUAUAGUGCCUUCUCUUGCCAACUUGCACUGAAAUAGAAAUGUAAGUAAGGGAAAAAAAACCCUGCUGUUCUGUUGAGCUGAGAUCAUGCAGUCUGUCUGCUGUGGCAGCUAACAUUUAAUUCAACACAUACAACAUGAAAUUUUUUCCUGUGUAACAAAAUCUAAACUAUUUGACAUUAACCUAUGGUCACAGGCAAGGUAGCGAAUACCAGGAGCUGGAGAGACAAUGAAACAAUUACACAUAGACUGUAUAUUUGUUAGUGCCAAUAAAGUAAGAGAAAGACGAUGUAUUACUAAACUUCUAGUUGUCAGGGAGAGAUCACCUAGAGGACGUGAGCUGGAUCUGGGUAUCAGAGACUCCUCAUCCCCUCCCCAGUCCUUGGAAUGUAUGUUCUACUCACCAAUCCCACAUUGGGGACAUUUUCAAGGACACAGCCUUGAAAGAGCAAUGUGUUGUUGAGACCAUCUGAGCAGAAUGCAUGACUGAACUUAGCUAAAGCCUCAGUACAAACUUUAAGAUUCUGGAGGUGUGUGCAGAAAUCUGCUCAUCAAGAGCCUGAAGACCAGCCUUGUAAGUAAGUUCCUUUGCUUAUUAAACUGCCACCUACCAACCUGGCCUGCCUCUUUCUUCAGUAUCUCCUUACCUUCUGUGUACAUGAGUCAAUCUGCAAUCAACAGUAGUUAUGGUGAAAUAAUGUAUAUUAUUUGCUAUUAACUGUUUGACAGUAUAUUUUAAGAAAGUGAUUAGCACAGGAAGAAUUUAUCCAUUUUCAAAUAAAAGUCUGGGCCUUGCAUGAUUGGAAAAACUGACAGACUCAGAAAAUAAGAAGAUAUUAUUAAAACUGGCUUCAAGAAACAAAGGUCAGUAUGUAUAUAUUUUCUUCUGGAUAAAAUAAAAUAGGGAAAAGUUCAGAUUACACAGGUGUGGCUGACACAUAUGUUCCAAAGAAUCUCAAGAUAGUUCCCAAUAUUUGAGGAGAGACACAUGGAAGAAGAAAACAAAACAGCAAUGCAGACUUCAGGAACAUGAAUGAGUCAUGGAACUGACUGGAAGCAGGUAAGUCAGGAGCUAACUGAAUUUUCCAAGGAAUGCUUAUUGUAAGUUUGAACUAGAAAACAUUUUGGAUUGUUCUACACU